rnacentral:rRNA from 1 species
UACGAAGGGGGCUAGCGUUGCUCGGAAUUACUGGGCGUAAAGGGCGCGUAGGCGGUGUGUUAAGUCAGGCGUGAAAGCCCCGGGCUCAACCUGGGAACCGCGCUUGAGACUGGCACGCUCGAGUUCGGGAGAGGAUGGUGGAAUUCCGAGUGUAGAGGUGAAAUUCGUAGAUAUUGGGAAGAACACCGAUGGCGAAGGCAGCCCUCUGGACCGACACUGACGCUGAGGCGCGAAAGCGUGGGGAGCAAACAGG